GACGAACGCUGGCGGCGUGCUUAACACAUGCAAGUCGAACGGAAAGGCCCUGCUUUUGUUGGGUUCUCGAUUGGCGAACGGGUGAGUAACACGUGUGUAACCUCCCCUUGUCUUUGUGAUAACUUCACGAAACUGCGGCUAAUAUCGGAUAUGAUCUCCUGCUGCAUGGUGGGGGUUGGAAAGUUUCGGCUGUUGUGGAUGGACUCGAGGCUUAUCGGCUUGUUUGUGGGGUAGUGGCUUACCAAGGCUUUGACGGGUAGCCUGCCUGGGAGGGGGGACGGGCACAUUGGGACUGAGGGACGGACCAGAAGGGAACGGGAGGCAGCAGGGGGGAAUAUUGCGGAAUAGGGGGAAGUGUGAUGCAAAAACGCCCGGUGCGGGAAGACGUGCUACGGGGUGAAAACAGAUUUGGAAGGAGACGAAGAGUGAGUGACGGUAAUGGGUAAAGAAGCACCGGCUAACUACGUG
rnacentral:rRNA from 1 species